UACGUAGGGGGCAAGCGUUAUCCGGAUUUACUGGGUGUAGAGGGAGCGUAGACGGCAGUGCAAGUCUGGAGUGAAAGGCGGGGGCUCAACCCCCGGACUGCUCUGGAAACUGUACGGCUGGAGUGCAGGAGAGGUAAGUGGAAUUCCUAGUGUAGCGGUGAAGUGCGUAGAUAUUAGGAGGAACACCAGUGGCGAAGGCGGCUUACUGGACUGUAACUGACGUUGAGGCUCGAAAGCGUGGGGAGCAAACAGG
rnacentral:rRNA from 1 species